UUAAAAAGAACAGUUGUCCUGCUCAGAGGAAGAUAAUCAGGGGCAAUUUCUUUGGUCUGGAUUUUCUGUGGUCUGCUCUAGUGAAGUCCCAAAGGUGCCAGUCUAGAGAAUUUCAACCUGUAUUAUUAUUUAUGGAAGAAAAUAUGGCAAUAAGCACUUCAACUUGGAGAAUGAAUUAAAGCAGAAGAGCUUGCCUAUGAAUGUUGGAAAUCAAGAUGCCUGCAGAAACGGAACCUGUUUGUUACCCCGGGACAGCCUGUACACAGGAGGGCAGCCAAUGCUGCGAGUGGAUAAGUUCCUAGGAGUGAACAUCACCAGUAGCAUCCUGGUCAAACCGCGUAGAUGUCAAGGCCAAGAAAGCUCACCAGUGCCUCUACUUCCUCAGGAGGCUAAAGAAAUUUGGCAUGUCCCCUUUGACACUCACCAACUUUUAUCGAUGCACCAUAGAAAGCAUCCUAUCUGGAUGCAUCACAGCUUGGUACAGCAACUGCUCUGCCCAGGAUGGCAAAAAACUGCAGAGAGUUGUGGACACAGCUCAGCACAUCAUGGAAACCAGCCUCCCCUCCAUGGACUCUGUCUACACUUCUCACUGCAUUGGUGAAGCAGCCAGCUUAAUCAAAGACCCCACCCGCCUGGGUCAUUCUCUCUUCUCUCCUCUCCCAUCAGGCAGAAGCUACAGGAGCCUGAGGGCACGUACCACCAGGCUCAAGGACAGCUUCUAUCCCACUGUGAUAAGACUAUUGAAUGGUUCCCUUUUACAAUGAGAUGGACUCUUGACCUCACAAUCUACCUUGUUAUGACCUUGCAGCUUAUUGUCUACCUGCAAUGCACUUUCCUGUAGCUGUGACACUUUACUCUGUACUAUUGUUUUUACCUGUCCUACCUCAAUGCACUCUGUACUAACUCAAUGUAACUGUACUGCGUAUUGAAUUGAUUUGUACGAAUGGUAUACAAGACAAGUUUUUCGCUGUACCUCGGUACAGGUGACAAUAAUAAACCAAUACCAAUACCAGUA